rnacentral:misc_RNA from 1 species
GAUGAAGAACGUAGCGAAAUGCGAUAAGUAAUGUGAAUUGCAGAAUUCAGUGAAUCAUCGAAUCUUUGAACGCACAUUGCGCCCGCCAGUAUUCUGGCGGGCAUGCCUGUCUGAGCGUCAUUUCUGCCCUCGAGCGAGUCCAGCAUCUAGGUGCUGGGCCCGCCCGGCGUUGGGGCACUACGGGAAGCCCUGUGCUGUCCCCCGUAGGCCCCGAAAUGAAGUGGCGGUCCUGCCGCGGCGCCCCCUGCGUAGUAUAACAGCUCGCUUCGGGACCCGGUGGAGGCCUGCCGUCAAACCUUACUCUCUAAGUUUGACCUCGGAUCAGGUAGGGUUACCCGCUGAACUUAAGCAUAUCAAUAAGCGGAGGA